GACGGAGGAUGCAAGUGUUAUCCGGAAUCACUGGGCGUAAAGCGUCUGUAGGUGGUUUAAUAAGUCAACUGUUAAAUCUUGAGGCUCAACCUCAAAAUCGCAGUCGAAACUAUUAGGCUAGAGUAUAGUAGGGGUAAAGGGAAUUCCCGGUGUAGUGGUGAAAUGCGUAGAUAUCGGGAGGAACACCAGUGGCGAAGGCGACUACCUGGCCUGUUCUUGACGCUGAGGCGCGAAAGCUAGGGGAGCAAACGGG
rnacentral:rRNA from 1 species